UACGAAGGGUGCUAGCGUUGUUCGGAAUUACUGGGCGUAAAGGGCGCGUAGGCGGUUUGGCAAGUUGGAUGUGAAAGCCCAGGGCUCAACCCUGGAAUUGCAUUCAAGACUGCUUUACUUGAAUUCGGUAGAGGUUGGUGGAAUUCCCAGUGUAGAGGUGAAAUUCGUAGAGAUUGGGAAGAACACCCGUGGCGAAGGCGGCCAACUGGACCGACAUUGACGCUGAGGCGCGAAAGCGUGGGGAGCAAACAGG
rnacentral:rRNA from 1 species